AGGCAUUUCAGUUGCUGUGGCCUUGAUGGGUUGGAAACUUCUUGCACUACAUCUCUGUGAGGAAGAUGACCCAGACGUAACUGAAGUGCCAAAAAUGCUCUUGGAAGAUUUUAGAUCAUGCUUGAAACUAAUGCUUGAAACCUUAAAACGAUCGGACGGUGAGGGAGAGAGCUCAGUACGGGAAGCCUCGAUCAAAGGAGCGGUAGCAGUAGAUCUGAGGAGAGAAGAGAAAGCCAUUGCAGUCUGUAACUUGGAGCUCCUCCCUCAAAAACCCUAACAAAGAGGAUAGAAGAAAGAGAUUGCGUUUUUUUUUUUUCCAAGGUUGCGGCUGUUG
rnacentral:misc_RNA from 1 species